GAUGAACGCUAGCGGCAGGCCUAAUACAUGCAAGUCGGACGGGAUUCAGGAGCUUGCUUCUGAUGAGAGUGGCGCACGGGUGCGUAACACGUAUGUAACCUACCUUUAUCAGGGGGAUAGCCUCUCGAAAGAGAGAUUAAGCCCGCAUAAAAUCACAGCACAGCAUUGUGUAAUGAUCAAAUAUUUAUCGGAUAAAGAUGGGCAUGCGGAACAUUAGCUAGGUGGCGGGGUAACGGCCCACCAUGGCGACGAUGCUUAGGGGAUCUGAGAGGAUGGCCCCCCACACUGGUACUGGGACACGGACCAGACUCCUACGGCAGGCAGCAGUAAGGAAUAGUGGUCAAUGGGCGGAAGUCUGAACCAGCCAUGCCGCGUGCAGGAAGACGGCCCUACGGGUUGUAAACUGCUUUUAUACGGGAAUAAACCCAGAUACGUGUAUCUGGCUGAAUGUACUGGAAGAAUAAGGAUCGGCUAACUCCGUG
rnacentral:rRNA from 1 species